rnacentral:rRNA from 1 species
UACGUAGGGUGCAAGCGUUAAUCGGAAUUACUGGGCGUAAAGCGUGCGCAGGCGGUGAUGUAAGACAGUUGUGAAAUCCCCGGGCUCAACCUGGGAACUGCAUCUGUGACUGCAUCGCUGGAGUACGGCAGAGGGGGAUGGAAUUCCGCGUGUAGCAGUGAAAUGCGUAGAUAUGCGGAGGAACACCGAUGGCGAAGGCAGUCCCCUGGGCCUGUACUGACGCUCAUGCACGAAAGCGUGGGGAGCAAACAGG